UAGUACACUAAAUACUAUAAUGAAAUUACGUAGUGAAAAUUCCAAAACCACUGCUCUGCCUGGGCUGCAAUAAAAUAUUUGUACACUUUAGGCACCAGAAACACACAUAAAUCAUUGAGCAGCAUCUGCAGCCCAUGACCCAUGCAUAAAACUUGAAUAUUAACUUCAUUUUUGGGGAGACAGCUGUAGCCAGACCUUGGCAAAGUGCCAUAAAAUAAAUACCACAACUCUCCUUGAUACACUGGGUAAGAACCUUUUAAACACUCCUUUCUCUACGCAGCAGAAAAGCUACUCUGAAGACUUUACAGGAGCACAGGAACGUGUGCGAGCUACACGCCAAGGACAAAAAAUCCAAACCAUAAACACACAAAAAAACCCACAGCAAAACCCAAAACCAACCAAGCAAAAUAAAAGAAAAAAAAUUAAAAAAAAAAAAAAAAGGGGGGGGGGGGGGGGGGGGGGGGGGGGGGGAAAAUUAAAAAAAAAAAAAAAAAGGGGGAAGGAAAAGGUAAAACAGAUUUAAAUGCAGGAACAGACGAAAACUGUCUUUGUGCGAUGCGUAGAAGCAAAGGAAAGCCCAUUUACACGAGCUAGGAGACACCCUCGCCCCCGCAAAGCACCACGGCUCUGCAGCCCGGGGGCGACGGGGACGGGCGGCGUGGAGGGAAGAGAAGCGAGGGGCAAGGCCGGCCGGGAUCCGAGGGACAAGCCGCCCGCCUCCCUGCCGCCGCCGCGGACGCAUGCACCUCCCAGCCCGCGCUCCGCGGCUCGCUCCCUAUUUAAAGGCUGAUGUGGUGUUUAAAUGGAGAGGCGGUGACGUGGGGCUGGAAAGCACCUUCCCAUCCUAGCAGAGUCUAUAUUAGAGAGCGGCAAUAGCGCUAUAUAAACAGGGCAGCCACAGGGAGGAGGAACACAAGGAGCAGGGAGGCAGAAAGGCAGGGGGAAGCCAUGAUGGAUCUGAGAGCCACAAACAAGGGGGCCGAGCCCGCCGCCGGGACGCCGGAUCUCUCACCUCUUCAAAGACUGAAGGACAGCACCACAAAAGCCAGGGGAUCAAUCAGAGAUUUUCUUCUAAAGCUGCCACUAGCAGCUGCUUGGCCCUCUCCUGUCAAUGCCAGGAUUUAUCUUUGUUGGGGGUUGAGUGUUUUUUCUGUUACUGUGUCAAUUAAAAGAAUUUUUCCCAUUGUCAUGCCGAUGGAGCUGGCUGGGUUACACCCAGGACCUCUGAUGGCUGUAGACAAAAGGGGUAGGUGGGGGCGGCUCCCGGAGGGGAGUUUAGAUAUGAAUUUCCAUGUAACUCAAUUCAAGAAUAAGCAUAUGUUGGGGGUUGAGUGUUUUUCUAUUACUGUGUCAAUUUAAAGAUUUUUUCCCAUUAUCAUGCCAAUGGAGCUGGCUGGGUUACACCCAGGACCUUUGAUGACUCUAGACAAAAGGGGUAGGUGGGAGCUGGGCUUCCGGAGGGGCUCUCAUGCUUCUGGCGAGCUCGGAGGAGGACCCCCCUGUCUCCAGCCCACGCGGCCGAACACAAAGGCAGGAGACCCUCUGCGGUCAGCUGCCCUGCAUCUUCCGCUCCUGCCAGCCCGGGUGGACUCUCACUGUAUUCUGGGGCCGUUUUAUUUUUAUAGUGGAGAUUUUAGGAUUUUUUCUGGCCAUUUUUGGUGCAAUUUCUGGGGGAUUUCUGUCUUUCUUAGAACGAAUUUUUGGGCAUUUUCCUGAGUUGUUAAGGCUAAAUUUAUCAUGGAUUUUCCCGAUGUUUUCCCAAUAACCUGGAAUUUUGACCAGUUUGGGUUGUUUCAAUGUUGAUUUUAGGACUUUUUCUGGCCAUUGUGAAGUUGAUUUUUAGGGGAUUUUUGCGUCUCUCUUGGGGGUUGAGUGUUUUUUCUAUUACUGUGUCAAUUUAAAGAAUUUUUCCCAUUAUCAUGCCAAUGGAGCUGACUGGGUUACACCCAGGACCUAUGAUGGCUGUAGACAAAAGGGGUAGGUGGGAGCGGCUCCCAGAAGGGGGCUCCGGUUUCUGGGGAGCUCGGAGGAGGAUUACCCGUCUCCAGCCCACGCGGCUGAAGGCAGGAGAGCCAGACCCUCUGUGAUCACCUGCCCUGCAUCUCCCCGUUCCAGCCUCCUGCCUCUGUGGACACUGCUGACCACCAGAACCCAAACGGUGAGCGAGGAGCUGCCCUCUCCAGCCCGUCCCCACCCGAGACCGGCGUGGGCCGAUCCCGCCUCCGCUCCCGCCUCUUCCCUGCAGCCGCCGGGCUUUGUUCCAGCCGCAGCACCGAGGCCGAGAGCAGGGAGAGCGUGUGCCUGCAGCUAAAGAAAGGACUGGGACCGAGUUAUCUGUUCUGUUUUGUUGGUAAUUUUAACAACUGCAGUUGUUUCUGCUUGUACGGUUAGAUAUAUUAGUAAAAGAGCUGUUAUUCCUACCCCCUUAUCUCUGCCUCAGAGUCCUUGAUUCAAACAAUUAUAAUACUUGGGGGGAGUGGAAUUAAGGUCUCUAUUUCAAAGGAAAACUUCCGCCUUUAUUGGCAGAUACCUGUCCUCCAAACCAGGACAAUCUUCUAGCAGAAUCAUAGUUCCCUACCUGACUUAAACUCCAUGUCAACUUUUGCAGAAAGCAUUCCUUUUC
rnacentral:lncRNA from 12 species